GACGAACGCUGGCGGCGUGCUUAACACAUGCAAGUCGAACGGAAAGGCCUUGCUUUUGUGGGGUGCUCGAGGCGCGAACGGGUGAGUAACCCGUGAGUCACCUGCCCAUUACUUUGGGAUAACUUCAGGACACUGGGGAUAACACAUACUAGGUGCUCCCGCUGGUUGGGGGGGGUUGGACAUUUUACGCGGUGGGGGGGAGACUCCCGGUUUAUCAGUUGGUUGGUGGGGUGGUGGCUUACCACGGCUUUGACGGGUAGCCGACUUGCGAGGGGGACCAGCGACAUUGGUACUAAGGUACGGCCCAGACGCCUACGUGAGACAGCAGUGGGGAAUAUUGCACAGUGGGCGGGAGCGUGAGGAAGCAACUCCGCGGGCGGGAUGACGGCCUUCUGGGUGUGAACCGCUUUCGCCUGUUACGAAGCGGGAGUGACGGUAAUGGGAGAAUAAGCACCGGCUAACUACGUG
rnacentral:rRNA from 1 species